AAAUUUAAAAAAUUUUGAAAAUGAUUACAGGCCACUAAUAUAGUCGAAAUCGGUUAAUUAUUUAUUUAUCAUUUUUAACUAAUUAUUUGCUUGUACAGCUUUAAAUACAUGAUAAUAUAUUGAAAUAUUUAAAUGAUUUAGUUGUAUUUCCUUGAUAUAUAUCACUUGUUUUGCGUGAUUUACGGUUGAUUAUGAAAUGUAAAAUUUAUAUACAAAUAAAAAAUUACUUAAUGAUGUGAGUUAAUAAAUAAUUGUUUUACUAGAUAUUCUAAGAGAUGGUGGACAGAUCGGGUACAUAGGGAACCCUACCAUAAACGUCACCUCAUAUCGGACGGGGUAUCGAGAGAUGACAUUUUUGGUGCUCAUACUGGAUAAGGUAUGGGAAUAGCCCAGUUCACCUUCAUACCGGACGAGGUAUGGGGACAAUAUUUUUUGCACUCAUACCGGACGAAGUAUGGGGACGGCCAGAUAAUUGACAGGUUUAGAUAUUGGGUUCACGCAUAUGGGGACAUCUCUAUGGACCUCUAGAGAUACCAGUAAGCAGAUAAAAAGAGAAAAAAUAGUUAUUCUUACUCACUUAUAUAAGAAAUCAUAAUGUUAUUUGAGUUAUUGUCUUUAUAGAUUGAUUUUGAAAAUCUCAUAAAUAAUGAUAAGUAUGCAAUAAAUAGUUUUUUUUAGGAUAAAUGAACUUACUUAAAUUAAGAGCUCCAUUAGUCGUUUUAUAUUUUUUUAUCAACAUUUAGUUUCCGUAUCGGUGAGCAGUGUAAUAUUUUAUUAGGAUAGUGUAACUCACCCCUAUUAACUAUUUUAGAUUAAGAAUAUCAAGACCUAGAUCCUAAUCAAGAAGAGGGCUGUGAGUAUGUGUCCCCUGAAUCCUAUCAAGAGUUAGUGGAGGUUAACCUCACUACAACAUUUAUUUACUAUUUUCAUAUGUUUAUUUCGUUUUUUUUGAACCGUUAUGAAAGGGACAUUCAAAUUUAUAUGUAAGGAAU
rnacentral:lncRNA from 1 species